UACGUAGGGGGCAAGCGUUGUCCGGAAUCAUUGGGCGUAAAGCGCGUGUAGGCGGCUCGGUAAGUCCGCUCUGAAAGUCCAGGGCUCAACCCUGGGAUGCGGGUGGAUACUGCCGGGCUCGAGUCCGGAAGAGGCGAGUGGAAUUCCCGGUGUAGGCGGUGGAAAUGCGCAGAUAUCGGGAGGAACACCAAUGGCGAAGGCAGCUCGCUGGGACGUGACUGACGCUGAGACGCGAAAGCGUGGGAGCAACAGGGAUAGAUACCCGU
rnacentral:rRNA from 1 species